AUAACAACAACAAAGAAC
rnacentral:snRNA from 1 species